rnacentral:rRNA from 1 species
CCCUUAGAUGUUCUGGGCCGCACGCGCGUUACACUGAUGCAUUCAACAAGUUCUUUCACCUUGGCCGAGAGGCCUGGGCAAUCUUUGAACGUGCAUCGUGAUAGGGAUAGAUUAUUGCAAUUAUUAAUCUUGAACGAGGAAUUCCUAGUAAACGCAGAUCAUCAAUCUGCAUUGAUUACGUCCCUGCCCUUUGUACACACCGCCCGUCGCACCUACCGAUUGAAUGGUCCGGUGAAGCCUCGGGAUUGUGGCUGGUUCCCUUUAUUGGGGAUCGGUUGCGAGAACUUGUCUAAACCUUAUCAUUUAGAGGAAGGUGAAGUCGUANCA